UAAAGAUUCGAAGCAGAUUGGUCCUAUUCCAAGCACUGAGCACCACCAGCUGCUUUUUUUGUAAAUUAAGAACAUGUUUUCCAUGUAGAGAGCAAGCUAAAUAUAACUUUCUCCAUGGGAAAAAUAGUAAAAUUAAAUUCGUCUUCUUCUUCCUAUCUAAUUUUAUCAUAAAAACAAUGGCCAUGAAAUUUUUCAACGUUGCAUCCCAAAAAACGGCAGGACUU
rnacentral:sRNA from 1 species